rnacentral:lncRNA from 1 species
ACAGUAUCUCUUUCUAGAUCCAGUCAUACCUUUAUGAGUCCCUUUGUAAAUAAACCCUCCUAAAAUUACCUCAAUUUGAGUGUUGCCGUCUGUUUCUUGUUGGAACUCUGACCGACAGAAACAGUUAAGUCAGGAUCCAGUAAGUUGAUACCAUGACACCCACUGCCAGUCACAUAUAUCGCAAGUAAUAGUUCCUUGAGGAAAGGUGCCCUGGAUAAGAAAUAACCUGCCUACAGACAAAAAGUAGGAGACUGGAGGAACAGGUGCUACCGCUCCUUUCUUUCUCAGUUGGGCCCCAAUAAAAAGGCCUCUGCUUUAAGAGUUAAGGCCAGGGUUUAGCACUCUUUCUUCAAAGGUCAAAUAAAUAUUUUAGGUUUAGCAGGCCAGAUGAUCUCUGUCAAAACUACUCAACUCUGACACUGCAGCACAAAAACAGCUAAUAAAAACACAUUAAUAAAUUAGCUUGGCUGCAUUCUAAUAAAAUCUUAUUUACACAAUAAAAUAACUAAACAUUACUUAUAAAACUGGCUGUAGUGUACUGAGCUUAGACCAAUGCUGUCCAAUAGAAAUAUAAUGCAAACCAUAUAUGUAACUUGAAAUUUCCAGUAACCAUAUAAAAUAGGUAAAAUUACUUUUCAUAAUAUUUAAAUCAAUAUAUCCAAAAUAUUAACAUUUCAGUGUAUAAUAUAAAUAACUGAAAUUUUGUAUUAAAUCUUCUAAAUCUAGCAUAUAUUUUACACAAAGCACAAUCUAGAUGCUAAAUUCUCAUCAGAAAUACUUGGUCUACAUUUAGAUUUAAUAAAAUUUACACUUGAAAAGGUAGGUUCACAUGCCCAAGUUAUUCCAAACAUACUUAAAAGUUUUAUAAUAACUGGAUGAAUUAUCAGUUUUCUAAUUUAAUUUUAAAUUAAUUUAAAUUAAAUAACAUUAAAAUUCAAUUCCUUGGUUGUACUAGUCACAUUUCAAGUGCUGAAUAGCCACAUGUGGCCAGUGGCUACCAUCUUGAAUAGCACAGGUCAAGAUAAUAUAAAGCUAUUGUUACUGGCCGCCAAGAUGAGUUAGGUUUCCCUUGCCUUAGUUCUCUACC